rnacentral:rRNA from 1 species
UACGUAGGGUGCGAGCGUUGUCCGGAUUUAUUGGGCGGAAAGAGCUCGUAGGCGGUUUGUCGCGUCGGCCGUGAAAUCUCCACGCUUAACGUGGAGCGUGCGGUCGAUACGGGCAGACUUGAGUUCGGUAGGGGAGACUGGAAUUCCUGGUGUAGCGGUGAAAUGCGCAGAUAUCAGGAGGAACACCGGUGGCGAAGGCGGGUCUCUGGGCCGAUACUGACGCUGAGGAGCGAAAGCGUGGGGAGCGAACAGG